CUCCCGUAUUAACUUCCGCGUUAAAAUUUAAAUGUAAGACGGGGGCCCGCACUAGCGGUGGAGCUUGCGGCUUACUUUGCCGCAACGUGAAGAACCUCACCCCGGCAUUACAUACACUGGAAACGUCCACAGAUGGGCGCCCCCUGUGUCGGUGUACAGGUGGUGCAUGCUGUCGUGAGCGCGUGUCGUUAGAUGUUGGGUUAAGUCCCGCAACGAGCGCAACCCUUGUCCCGUGUUGCCAGCAGGCCCAUGUGGUGAGGGGACUCACGGGAGACAGCCGGGGUCAACUAGGAGGAAGGUGGGGACGACGUCAAGUCAUCAUGCCCGUUCAUGUCUUGGGCUGCACACAUGCUACAAUCGCCGGUACAUUGAGAUGCGAUACCGCGAGGUGGAGCGAAUCUAAAAAAGCCGGUCUCUGUUCGUACUGGGGUGUGUAACUCGACCCCCUGAAGUAGGUGUCGCUCGUUAUUGAAGAUGAGYAKGAUGCGGYGAAUACGUUCCYGGGCSUCGUACACMCCGCCSGYCRUGUCACGAAAGUCAGGUAMUAGCCMGGAUG
rnacentral:rRNA from 1 species